CUGAUGUGGUUGAGGUACGAAGGAGGAC
rnacentral:piRNA from 1 species